rnacentral:rRNA from 1 species
ACUCCUACGGGAGGCAGCAGUUAGGAAUCUUCCACAAUGGGCGCAAGCCUGAUGGAGCGACGCCGCGUGAGGGAUGAAGGUUUUCGGAUCGUAAACCUCUGAAUCAACGACGAAAGGCCCGAAAGGGAGAUGACGGUAGUUGAGUAAUAGCACCGGCUAACUCGGUGCCAGCAGCCGCGGUAAUACGGAGGGUGCAAGCGUUACCCGGAAUCACUGGGCGUAAAGGGCGUGUAGGCGGGACGUUAAGUCUGGUUUUAAAGGCUGCGGCUCAACCGCAGAAGUGGACUGGAUACUGGCGUUCUAGACCUCUGGAGAGGCAACCGGAAUUCCUGGUGUAGCGGUGGAAUGCGUAGAUACCAGGAGGAACACCAAUGGSGAAGGCAGGUUGCUGGACAGAAGGUGACGCUGAGGCGSGAAASUGUGGGGAGCAAACCGGAUUAGAUACCCGGGUAGUCCACACCCUAAACGAUGUACGUUGGCUCAKCGCAGGAUGCUGUGCUGGGCGAAGCUAACGCGAUAAACGUACCGCCUGGRAAGUACGGCCKCAAGGUUGAAACUCAAAUGAAUUGACGGAWGUCGA